GGACUACUGGGGUAUCUAAUCCCGUUCGCUCCCCAUGCUGUCGUGUCUGAGCGUCAGUUGCGAGCCAGGGCGCCGCCUUCGCCUCUGGGGUUCCUCCGGAUCUCUACGCAUUUCACCACUACACCCGGAAUUCCACGCCCCUCUCUCGCACUCCAGGCUAUCAGUCUGGCAUACACUGUUGGAGUUAAGCCCCAACCUUUCAUACACCACUUGGUAACCCGCCUGCACACGCUUUACACCCAGUAAAUCCGGAUAACGCUCGCCACCUACGUUUUACCGCGGCGGCUGGCAC
rnacentral:rRNA from 1 species